GAUGAACGCUAGCUACAGGCUUAACACAUGCAAGUCGAGGGGCAGCAUGAUUGAAGCUUGCUUCAAUCGAUGGCGACCGGCGCACGGGUGAGUAACACGUAUCCAACCUGCCGAUAACUCGGGGAUAGCCUUUCGAAAGAAAGAUUAAUACCCGAUAGCAUAGUAUUUCCGCAUGGUUUCACUAUUAAAGAACUUCGGUUAUCGAUGGGGAUGCGUUCCAUUAGAUAGUUGGCGGGGUAACGGCCCACCAAGUCAACGAUGGAUAGGGGUUCUGAGAGGAAGGUCCCCCACAUUGGAACUGAGACACGGUCCAA
rnacentral:rRNA from 1 species